ACGAACCUCUGGUGUUCCGGUUGUCACGCCAGUGGCAUUGCCGGGUAGCUAUGUUCGGAAGAGAUAACCGCUGAAAGCAUCUAAGCGGGAAACUCGCCUUAAGAUUAGAUAUCCCGAGAAUUUAUUUCUCCUAAAGGUCUGUUGAAGACUACAACGUUGAUAGGCUGGGUGUGUAAGCGCUGCGAGGCGUUGAGCUAACCAGUACUAAUUGACCGUGAGGCUUGAUCAUAUAACACUCAAGUGGUUUGG
rnacentral:rRNA from 1 species